rnacentral:tRNA from 1 species
GGAGGGGUGCCGGAGCGGUCGAACGGGACGGUCUCGAAAACCGUUGUACCCAUCUCGGGUACCGUGGGUUCGAAUCCCACCCCCUCCG